AGAUGAAAAGAUUUAACUUGCGUAAGAAACAAAGAAUUAGUUACUACGAACCGGACGAGCCGCCCUUCGACGACUAUGUUUUUUGUCCUUCGUGUCGAGAUUAUGUGUACGAAUACUGCGCUAUACAUGGCCCGUUACUGAUCAUACCGGAUGAUAAGGUCCCUGCCGUAACAAACCUCCCCCCGAUAGUACCGAGGGCAGCCCUGACCGUACCAAGAGUAUUUCUGCAUUUAAAUGUAUCCACUAUUAGAGGCGCCGGUUUGGGAGUGUUCGCUACGAGAACCCUACCACGUAAUGUGCGGUUUGGACCAUACAGAGGAGUACGUAGUAAGGACGCUGCUUCAAACUACUGCUGGCAGAUCUACGACAAAGACCACAAACCCUCGCACAUGGUAGACGCCGCAGACGGGAACAACUCCAAUUGGAUGCGGUUCAUUAAUUGCUCUAGACAUUGGAGUGAACAGAACCUCGUCGCGUUCCAGUACAAAGGAGAAUUGUAUUACUGCACAAUCAGAACUAUUCCCCGCAAUACGGAGCUGAUGGUGUACUACGGGAGUGAGUUCGCACAUCGCCUGCACGUCGAUAUCGGUCGAUAUAACUCACCUGUUGAUGAAUUUGUUAUACGACUAGCAGCUAGUUAUGAACACUACGAUAAAAUGUACGCAGAAAUGACCAACAUAAUUAAUACGAGUGGAACUUCGUUCAACUCAGUUAAACAGCCAAAUUCCAGAAAUGUUAAUGGACCAACGCACACUCAAACUAUUGCUUCCCAGAGAUCAAAUACAAUAC